AUGGGGCAAGAAGCAGGAGGAGGGAGCACUCUGGAUCUCCCCAUGCACUCCUACAGGGCUGCUCCUGGUGACAGCAGGACAUCGUCUCCAGCACAAGUCCUCAGGGUGCUCCUGGACUCAGGGGCAACGUGGCUUGCAGCAUCGAUGUACACGAGGACUUGGAGUGGCAGCGACGAAGCUGCUGGGAAGUUUGUCACCAUAACACUGGCUGUUUAUGCUUUGCGUGGAUGAAAAGAACAGCUUUCUUCAAUUAGGCUUUGUACUUCAGCUGGCAGGCGGGUGCCGAUUGUCUGAAACUCCACCUCUCCGUGCAGCCUGUUUCGGGAGCUGAUGGAUGCCGAGCCGCCCAGCCCAGCCCUUCUGCUCGCGACAGGAAAAAAUGGGAGACAUCCAACAGCAGCAGCAACCACUUGGGUUCAGUUGAGUCCUCGGGCCUUCGGAUGAGGCCUGGUGCAACUUUCUCAAUGCUUUUCCUCUUCAGUUCCUGCUCCAUGCAGGUGCGGGGAGCUGACAUACCAGGGAGAAGGCUGCUGGUUGCUAAAGGAGGGCUCGAGCUCGUUUUGAAGCCAAUGGUCUGGUGGGGACAGCAGGCUAUUUCCAUUGACUUCAGCAAGUUUUGAAUAAGUUGCCUGGAUACCUAGCAAUGUAACACAGCAUGUGUGAUCGGCUGAUAGAUAUUUAUUUAAUAAGAAACAGUGCAUGGGAUGGGAACUGCCUUGAUAGCAGUGUGGAUUUAUAAGACACUGAUUGUACUUUGUCAUGCAGUUUUGCAGAUUGAGAGAGCUGGGUUUUAUUUUAUUUUAUUUUAUGGUUUACCAGAAGCUGAUAGCAAAGCCAUGGCAAAAAAUCAAAAUACAACACCCACUGUAGCCCUUCACAGGGAAAACUGUCUUAUAAAUUAAGAUCUAGAGGAAUUUCUGAUACUGCCUUGGAAUUCCUUUAGAGUGAAAUGUGUUUCCUGGGUCAUACUGUGGCAGAGGAAAAGUAUGCAGAGACUGAGCUGCAUGAACAACAGCAUAUAAUAAUUAAAAACAAACGUCUUCAUGCCCAAGCAGGUACUCCUACCAACAAAACCAUGUCAAUAGCUCCGUUAUUUCUCAUCUCUCCUUUUGUGCUUGUGACUCUUUUACCAUAACCACUGUACAGGAGGAGGUAUUUGGGGGAUGCAGUCACUGUCCCCUGUUGGAGACCUCAGAGGCAUGGCGUGGCCCUGUGCAUUCACACUGCUGCUAAUCCUCUGCUGAAAACAGAGCUGCUAGUGCUCAGUGUCUCGUGCCAACACAGACUCAGGCACAGAGGAUGGACAAACACCCCCAGGACAAACAUCCCCCUGCAUAUCUGCUGCGCUGACCCCUUAGCAGAACCCUUCCCAGAUCAGGAAGAGGCAUGGGACAGGGGAGCUGUGAGCAGUGGUGGUGCACGGGGAGGCAGCAGAGCUGUGACUCAGAAGGCAGUAACACUUCUUCAUGGCUCUUGGUAAUUAGCAAAUGGUUUCACUGGGAAUCAACAUAACUGCCAGCGCUGUGAGACUCUGCUCAGCCUUGGGAGAGAGAACUGACCUUCACGCUCUCCAUUCGGUCUCUCCGAUUUAUUUAUUUAUUUUCCUCCAGGCUCAAAAUAUUUCUUAACAAUAA